UACGUAGGGUGCAAGCGUUAAUCGGAAUUACUGGGCGUAAAGCGUGCGCAGGCGGUUUUGUAAGUCUGUCGUGGAAAGCCCCGGGCCUUAACCUGGGAAUUGCGAUGGAGACUGCAAGGCUUGAAUCUGGCAGAGGGGGGUAGAAUUCCACGUGUAGCAGUGAAAUGCGUAGAGAUGUGGAGGAACACCGAUGGCGAAGGCAGCCCCCUGGGUCAAGAUUGACGCUCAUGCACGAAAGCGUGGGGAGCAAACAGGG
rnacentral:rRNA from 1 species